rnacentral:rRNA from 1 species
UACAGAGGUGGCAAGCGUUGUUCGGAAUUACUGGGCGUAAAGGGCGCGUAGGCGGCCCGUCAAGUCCCGUGUGAAAGCCCCCGGCUCAACCGGGGAACGGCGCGGGAAACUAGCAGGCUUGAGUUCGGGAGAGGGAAGCGGAAUUCCGGGUGUAGUGGUGGAAUGCGUAGAGAUCCGGAGGAACACCAGCGGCGAAGGCGGCAUCCUGGACUGGUCCUGACACUCAGGAGCGAAAGCGUGGGGAGCGAUCCGG